UACGUAGGGUGCGAGCGUUAAUCGGAAUUACUGGGCGUAAAGCGUGCGUAGGCGGUUCGUUAAGUUCGUUGUGAAAGCCCCGGGCUCAACCUGGGAAUGGCAAUGGAAACUGGCGGGCUGGAGUAUGGCAGAGGGGGGGUGGAAUUCCGCGUGUAGCGGUGAAAUGCGUAGAGAUGUGGAGGAACACCGAUGGCGAAGGCAGCCUUCUGGGCCAACACUGACGCUCAUGCACGAAAGCGUGGGGAGCAAACAGG
rnacentral:rRNA from 1 species